rnacentral:rRNA from 1 species
GACGAACGCCGGCGGCGUGCUUAACACAUGCAAGUCGAACGGAAAGGCCUGCUUUCCCUUGUGGAUUGCGGGUACUCGAGUGGCGAACGGGUGAGUAACACGUGAGUGAUCUGCCCCCAACUUGGGUAUAAGCCUGGGAAACUGGGUCUAAUUCCCGAUAGGACUGCAGGGUGGUGCCUGUGGUGGAAAACGAUUUUCUAGUGGUUGGGGAUGAGCUCGCGGCCUAUCAGCUUGUUGGUGGGGUAAUGGCCUACCAAGGCGGCGACGGGUAGCCGGCCUGAGAGGGUGGACGGCCACAUUGGGACUGAGAUACGGCCCAGACUCCUACGGGAGGCAGCAGUGGGGAAUAUUGCACAAUGGGCGGAAGCCAGAUGCAGCGACGCCGCGUGGGGGAUGACGGCCUUCGGGUUGUAAACUCCUUUCGACCGCGAGGAAGCCACCUGGUUGGAAGGGUGGUGACGGUAGUGGUAGAAGAAGCACCGGCUAACUACGUG